rnacentral:rRNA from 1 species
UUGAACGCUGGCGGCAGGCCUAACACAUGCCAGUCGAGCGGAUGAAGGGAGCUUGCUCCUGGAUUCAGCGGCGGACGGGUGAGUAAUGCCUAGGAAUCUGCCUGGUAGUGGGGGAUAACGUCCGGAAACGGGCGCUAAUACCGCAUACGUCCUGAGGGAGAAAGUGGGGGAUCUUCGGACCUCACGCUAUCAGAUGAGCCUAGGUCGGAUUAGCUAGUUGGUGGGGUAAAGGCCUACCAAGGCGACGAUCCGUAACUGGUCUGAGAGGAUGAUCAGUCACACUGGAACUGAGACACGGUCCAGACUCCUACGGGAGGCAGCAGUGGGGAAUAUUGGACAAUGGGCGAAAGCCUGAUCCAGCCAUGCCGCGUGUGUGAAGAAGGUCUUCGGAUUGUAAAGCACUUUAAGUUGGGAGGAAGGGCAGUAAGUUAAUACCUUGCUGUUCUGACGUUACCAACAGAAUAAGCACCGGCUAACUUCGUG